rnacentral:rRNA from 1 species
UACGUAGGGUGCGAGCGUUAAUCGGAAUUACUGGGCGUAAAGGGCUCGUAGGUGGCCAACUAAGUCAGACGUGAAAUCCCCAGGCUCAACUUGGGAACUGCGUCUGAUACUGGAUGGCUUGAAUUCGGGAGAGGGAUGCAGAAUUCCAGGUGUAGCGGUGAAAUGCGUAGAUAUCUGGAGGAAUACCGGUGGCGAAGGCGGCAUCCUGGACCGAGAUUGACACUGAUGAGCGAAAGCUAGGGGAGCAAACGGG